UACAGGGGGUGCAAACGUUGCUCGGAAUUAUUGGGCGUAAAGCGCACGUAGGCGGUUCGUUAUGUCAGAUGUGAAAGCCCUUGGCUCAACUGAGGAAGUGCAUCUGAAAACUGGCGAGCUAGAGUAUGUAAGAGGGUCGCGGAAUUCCCGGGUGUAGAGGUGAAAUUCGUAGAUAUCGGGAGGAACACCGGUGGCGAAGGCGGCGACCUGGGACAAUACUGACG
rnacentral:rRNA from 1 species